UCUCGGGGUUACAGCCUUGCUGAAUUAUUCACCCUUGUCUUUUGCGUACUUCUUGUUUCCUUGGUGGGUUCGCCCACCACUAGGACAAACAUAAACCUUUUGUAAUUGCAAUCAGCGUCAGUAACAAAUUAAUAAUUACAACUUUCAACAACGGAUCUCUUGGUUCUGGCAUCGAUGAAGAACGCAGCGAAAUGCGAUAAGUAGUGUGAAUUGCAGAAUUCAGUGAAUCAUCGAAUCUUUGAACGCACAUUGCGCCCUUUGGUAUUCCAAAGGGCAUGCCUGUUCGAGCGUCAUUUGUACCCUCAAGCUUUGCUUGGUGUUGGGCGUCUUGUCUCUAGCUUUGCUGGAGACUCGCCUUAAAGUAAUUGGCAGCCGGCCUACUGGUUUCGGAGCGCAGCACAAGUCGCACUCUCUAUCAGCAAAGGUCUAGCAUCCAUUAAGCCUUUUUUUCAACUUUUGACCUCGGAUCAGGUAGGGAUACCCGCUGAACUUAAGCAUAUCAAUAAGCGGAGGAAA
rnacentral:rRNA from 2 species